UGCGUAGGCGGUUUGGUAAGCCAGAUGUGAAAUUCCUGGGCUCAACCGAGGAACUGCAUUUGAUACUGCCAGACUAGAGUACUGGAGAGGAGACUGGAAUUUACGGUGUAGCAGUGAAAUGCGUAGAUAUCGUAAGGAAGGCCAGUGGCGAAGGCGAGUCUCUGGACAGUAACUGACGCUGAGGCACGAAGGCUAGGGGAGCAAACG
rnacentral:rRNA from 1 species